GAAAAUAAAUUUUUGUUGUUUAAGCCACCUGGUCUGUGGUCUUUUGUUAUGGAAGCCCAGACAGAGUAAUAAUAGAAGUAGCAUCUCCUAGCUGUGUUUAUCAUAAGAUGAUGAUAAUGGCUUCACUAAGAUUUAAUUUUUAUAAUUGUGAAUAAAAACUAAAUGCUAGUAAGCAAAUUUGAAACGUGGAACAAUAAACUUUUUGACAGGUUUUGCUAUGCCAGUAGGUUUGGAAGAUGACAGAUUUUUUUUUAAAAGACCUUUUAUUUUGGAAUAAUUUUAAGUGUAUGGAAAAAUUACAAAGACAGGUGGAGAAUCUGUCUACCCUUCACCCAGCUUCUCCUAAUUCUAAUAUCAUACAUAACCAUGGUAUAUUUGUCAAAACUAAAGAAUCAACGUGGUACAAUACUAUUUACUAAUCUACACACUUCAUUUGUAUUUCAUCAGUUUUUCCACUGAUGUCCUUUCUCAGUUCCAGAAUCAGAAUCAGGAUAUAUCUUCCACAUAAUAAUCAUGUCUCUUUAGUCUCCUAGGCUCUGUAAUACUUGCCAAGUCUUUCUUUGUUCUUCCAGAGAUGGUGAUAGAUGUUAAAAAGGAAAUUCUACCUUGAUGCCAAUAAGCGGUAACAAUAUAUUUUUUUAAUUAUUUAGAACCAUAGAAAUAGCUAAAAAAUACUUUGGCAACCAGUGAAAUAACCUGUGGUGCUUUUUACAAUGCUACUGGGCCCCACAUCCAGAUAUUCUGAUUUAAUUAGCUUGGAUUACAGCUUGGGCACUGGGAUUCUUUUAAGCCUUUUCACUGAGCCUCACAUGCAAGUUAAGGUUAAGAACCACCACCUAAGAGGCUGGGCAGCCCAUCAUCUUACCCAGAAGAGUACUGGUUCUCAAAAUGUGGUCUCUCUAUCAGCAGGUGGUUGUGACAUACACUAAAGUUUGGGAACCAGUACAAUUGAGGAACCCUGCCCAAGUAUUGCUCUCAGAUGCCUUGAAUAAUCCUCAUAAAGGAGAACUCAUGACUCACAAUGUUUGUUAAUUAACAGUUUUAUCAUUAAAAGUUAUUAUUCAUUGAAACAAAUUGUUGAAUUAUAACUUCCAAUUAAUGGUCAUAGUUUCGUGUCUUAAUUAAUUAAAUAACAACUCUACAAAAUAUAAAUUCAAACACUGUGUUGGAUCUUACAGAAUUUCAAAUGGGAUUACUCUUGAGAAAAUGUUUCCUGUGGUGGAAAUUCAGCUUGAAAAUUCACCUAUCUGGAACCUUCAUACAUUGCUAGUGAGAGUAUAAAAUGGUACAGCUGAUUUGAAAAUAGUUUGGCGGUUCCUUAGAUGGUUAAACAUAGAGUUACUAUACAAUCCAGUCAUUCCACUCCUAAGUAUACACCCAAAAAAAUGAAAACAUAUCCCAUACAAAAACAUAUAUGCAGCAUUGUUUACAAUAGUUAAAUACAAUCCAAAAUUCAAAGACAAUUCAAAUGUCCAUCAAUUAAUGAAUAAACAAAAUGCUGUUUAGCUAUACAAUGGACAAAUACUAUUUGGCAAUAAAAAGAAAUAAAGUACUGAUACAUGCUAUUAAAUGGAUGAAUCUUGAAAGAAGCCAGUCAUAAAGGACCACAUAUUAUAUGAGUCCAUUUAUAUGAAAUGUUCAGAAUAGGCAAUUCAUCGAAACAGAAAGCAGGCUAGGGAUGAGGGGUUGGGAGGAAAAUGAUGUGUGACUGUUCAUGGGUACGGAGUUGAUUUUUGAGGGGAUACAUAUGUUCUAAAAUUGAUUGUGGUGAUGGUUGUACACUCUAUGAAUAUGCUAAUUAUAAAAAUAUAUUUACUUGGACAUCCAAUUACUAUACAAAGUGAAUACAUUCAUAAAGUGAAUCAAGUCUCAGUUUAGCAGAUUGGCCCAGGACUCUUAUUUAGAUUUCCAUUGUCUUACUAACUUAACAUUAGCAACCUAAGAUUCGAACGCCAUAAAACAACUUCAACUGAUAAACAUCGAUACCACUGCAAAUUUUAUAAAUCUCUUUUGCAUAAAGAAUAAAAUCUUAUUAAGAGCUUACUAUUUUGUACCCUAUGUGUUGGGGUUUACUUCUAUAAAAUGUCAAGGUCUUGAGCUCUUGUAAAAAACUAUGAAUUUUAAACAUAGUUUUAAAAAGUAGUCUACUAUAAAAAAUAAAGAGAGGACGUGAAGCCAUAACAAUCAGGUUCAUCCCAGCCCUCUAAUUACUAAACUUCUACAGUUAGUCAAGUCUCUUACUCUCUGUGAAUUUUCUUAAUUUACUUCCUAUUAAAUAUUUACCCAUUUACCCAUUUUGAAAGUCCUUUUUUGUAGCCAGAAUACAUGGGCACAAAAAUUGGGCCCAGAGAUUUCUUUUUUCCAUUCUGUUCCAGGGGAAAAUUUUUAUUACAGUUCUUGUGUCAGUGCCAGGGCGGUGCUUACAUUUUCCAUUUCAUUUCUAGAGAGCAGACCAUGAAACAUUGUACAUAUUCAGGAUUGUGAUCGAACUGAAGGAGAAUGAACACUACCUGGAAACAGAAGUCAGGGAUCAAGAAAUGGUUUUGUAGUGGUGGUAGUUAAGGUUUCUUGAUAUAGUUACUAAAUGUGAUGAUUCCUGUCUCACUGGGAGAGAGUGGGUACAUUUGUGAAUGUAUGUCACAGUUGGAUUAUAUCAGGCAGGAGACACAGA